GAGUAGGAAAGAGAAAUGCAAGAAUGACUUUGUGGCAGGCAUGCACCUGCCUGGAUUGUUUUGUAAAAGACUGGAGAAUUCUGGUAUUUUGGCUGACUUGUAUUGUCUGUUUUCUGUAACAAAUUUAAUCCUUUUAGCAGGGCUGCAAGCGUGAGAGUUGGGCUGGUGUUGCAAAGUAUAUAAUGGAUGAUUUCCUCUUCUCUUAGAGUCAGAGGAUGUGAAAGAUAUCAACAAAGUUCUCCAUGCUGUUUUUCACAUCACUCCCGUCGAAUUUUGGGGAGUUCUUCAAGUGGUUGCAGAAGUUCGGAGGCAGGAGGAUGGUGGUUGAAGUCUACGCCUAGAGGAGAAAUUAAGGAAGGCUUUCAGUCAAGGAAGAGGUACUGAAACAGGUGCAGGAGACUGGCCUUAUUAAACAUGUUGCGGCAUUUUUGUCCUCAUCAAAUUCUUGUUGCAGAAACAUGGGAAUUCUAGGUUAACAAGAUGACUUGCCGGACAUUGCUGCAAGUGUACGUUGCCAGGGGGCACAGAAACAUGGCUCUGUGGAAGGGUAUUGCUGUAAGGAAACAUGUGUGAAGUGCUUGAAAGAUAACAGUGACAAGCCAUCCACUUUGGUUUCUGGGACAGCUGUAGAUGGUGUCAGCGAGCAAGAGCUUGAUGUGCUGGUUCCUUCAUCUCAAACAAAACUGAUUUGCUGUGGCUGUGGUCAAAGCAGCCGCAUUGGGAUGUCCCGGCUGGCGGCGAUGUCUUAACAGCACUUCUACUAGCUUUGCCUCUAGAAACAUGGUCUGGUAUCAAAGAGGAGAGACUUUUGCAAGAAAUACAUGCUCUUGUUUCAACCGAACACCUCCCCACUCUGCUUCAAGAAGAGGCAAGUAUAGUCCUACUUUUAUUCAUUUUCCUUCAGCUGUUCCACGGCUUCAGCUCCACCUCCUCAAAAAAUGCCAAGAGAAUAAGGUAGAGAGGAUCUUGGCGCCGCGCCCCUCUUCCCUGGCAUUUCCUUUACCUGUUUACUGUAAAUUCAUUAUCUUUAAGCCAGGAUUUUACUUACGCAUGGAAGAUUUAUAACCCACAAAACCCCAAGGACUGAAAUGACUUUCGCCAAGGAAGUCACCCAAAGACCAAAACCUCUUGGUAGGGCAAGCUUUAAGUGUUCCUGAUGGAUCUAGAGCUUGAGGUAAGUGGCAAGGAUCAUCUUUCAUGGACUGAAUCCUGCUCAAAACUGAAUCAAUUACCAUGCUAACCGAUUGAAGGUAUGAAUGCUCUUGUGGAGUAUAUGCUGAGUUUUCAGAGUCAUUUUUCGUUGGGUCGCUAAUCAUUCAGAAGUCUUGCAUGUACUAGACUGCGUUAAGUUAGUGUUUUAAGACGGGAGACUGAGUUGUCCCCAAUGAACUCGAGAAAGUCGUUCAAAAAUCAAUAUUUUUUUCUCCAAAA